rnacentral:rRNA from 1 species
GAGUUUGAUCCUGGCUCAGGAUGAACGCUGGCGGCGUGCCUAAUACAUGCAAGUCGAGCGAACGGACGAGAAGCUUGCUUCUCUGAUGUUAGCGGCGGACGGGUGAGUAACACGUGGAUAACCUACCUAUAAGACUGGGAUAACUUCGGGAAACCGGAGCUAAUACCGGAUGAUAUUUUGAACCGCAUGGUUCAAAAGUGAAAGACGGUCUUGCUGUCACUUAUAGAUGGAUCCGCGCUGCA